UACGGAGGGGGCUAGCGUUGUUCGGAAUUACUGGGCGUAAAGCGCACGUAGGCGGCUUUGUAAGUUAGAGGCGAAAGCCCGGGGCUCAACUCCGGAACUGCCUUUAAGACUGCAUCGCUUGAAUUGUGGAGAGGUAAGUGGAAUUCCGAGUGUAGAGGUGAAAUUCGUAGAUAUUCGGAAGAACACCAGUGGCGAAGGCGACUUACUGGACACAUAUUGACGCUGAGGUGCGAAAGCGUGGGGAGCAAACAGG
rnacentral:rRNA from 1 species